UCUCUCUCUCACUGCAGAUCUUGAACGGAGAAUUCCCUUGGAAAAGGAGUUUCUUCCCCCUUUCCUUUCCUUUGGAGAGAGAGAGAGAGAGAUCUUCUUCCUUCUCCUUUUUAAGCACAGAGAGAGAUGGGGAGCAGCAACGGUGAUGGAUCGGACAGAGAGGGGUCGGAUGCGGGGUCGGACGAACGGCCGAUGACGUUCGAGUACUCUGGUUGGGUCUAUCAUCUCGGCGCCAAUUCAAUCGGUCAUGAAUAUUGCCAUCUCAGAUUCCUCUUCUUGAAAGGAAAGUACGUCAGGAUGUAUAAAAGAGAUCCCCAUGAGGAUCCCGACAUUAGACCCAUUAGGAAGGGAGUUAUUGGCCAUACUCUAAUGGUGGAGGAGAGAGGAUGUAGGAAGGUCAAUCAUGGGGAUGUUUAUGUCUUGAGAUUUUACAAUAGAUUGGACGAGACGAAGAAAGGAGAAAUUGCCUGUGCCACAGCUGGAGAAGCACGGAAAUGGAUGGAAGCCUUUGAUCAGGCCAAGCAACUGGCCGAGUAUGAGCUUUCAAGAGGAAGCAGCCGAUGCAAACUAAACAUUGAGACUGAGAUCAAUCUUGAACAUCGUCCACGGGUGAGGCGGUAUGCGCAUGGUUUGAAAAGGCUUAUAAGAAUUGGAAAAGGUCCAGAGACGCUUCUGCGCAAGUCGUCAGAUCUCAGAUCAGAUGGAUAUUUUGAUGGGGAUGUUACAGAUGCAAUCGAAGCACAUGAAUGGAAAUGCAUCCGCACUGUAAAUGGUAUUAGAAUAUUGGAGGAUGUGGCCAGCUCAAAGAGUGAUAAGGGUUUCCUUGUGAAAGCUGUUGGUGUUGUUGAUGCAAGCUUAGACACAGUCUUUGAAGUGGUUUGCAGCCUUGACCGACAUCAGAGAUAUGAGUGGGACAUGUUGACAGGUGAUCUUGAAUUAGUAGAUUCUGUAAAUGGGCAUUUUGAUGUUCUCUAUGGGACUUAUGACCCUAAAUACAUGUCUCGGUGGCAUUCAAAAAGAGAUUUUGUUUUCUCAAGGCAGUGGUUUCGUGGGCAAGAUGGAGCAUACACCAUCUUACAGUUUCCAACCAUCCAUAAGAAGCGGCCUCCAAAAUCUGGUUAUCAGCGUACAAAAAUGAUUCCAUCCAUUUGGGAGAUUAGAAGAUUAAAUCCAUCACCAACUUCAAGUGGUGAUAAAUGCCUUGUAACACAAAUGUUGGAGAUAAACUCUAGUGGCUGGGGUAAAUGGAAGAAACAUUACCAUUCAAAGUUCGAGAAGACCAUCCCUUAUGCGUUGUUGUGCCAAGUUGCAGGUUUGAGAGAAUAUUUUGGAGCGAAUCCUGCACUCACAGUGGAUUCUCCCACUGCAGUUGACCAUUCAAAGUUUUCUAAUGUUUCUGGUGCUAGUGGUGAACUUGAGGAUUCCGAAACAAAUGAUGAGUUUUAUGAUGCGAUUGCUGCUGACAUGUCACUGGAAGAUGAAGAUAGUGAUGAAUCUGAUGACAGUGACAACAAUGAUGAGCUUUCCAAGGGUGGAAAGGUAAAGCUGAAGAAUGUUUCAUGGGCCAUUGCAAACUUGGCUCUAAAGAAAAGCUCAGCUCAUGGCACCAACACCGAAUUAGAUGCACAGGUUCCUCCUACUGAUGUUGAUGCAAGCCAAUUUCAUGGUUCUAUGCCUCAAGCGAAAGCUGAAACUGACACAAACUGUUGGGCUGCUCCAAGUGGCCAAGGAUUCAUGAUAAGAGGAAAAACAUAUUUGAAGGAUUUCUCUAAGGUUAUGGGAACGGAUCCCCUUCUGAAGCUCUUGGCAGUUGACUGGUUUACAGCUGAUAAAAACAUGGAUAGGAUUGCUCUGGAUCCUAAAUGUCUUGUUCAGUCAGAAGCUGGAAAGAAGCUCCCAUUCAUCUUUGUGAUAAAUCUACAGGUUCCAGCAAAGCCAAACUAUAGCUUGGUUCUCUAUUAUGGAGCUGACAGACCCAUAAAUGAAGGAUCUUUAUUGAGUAAAUUUGUGGAUGGGACUGACAUGUUUCGGGAUGCAAGAUUCAAGCUUAUUCCAAGCAUCGUAGAGGGAUAUUGGAUGGUCAAGCGUGCAGUUGGAACCAAAGCUUGCCUUUUAGGGAAAGCAGUUACCUGCAAAUACCUUAGACAAGAUAAUUUUCUGGAGAUAGAUGUGGAUAUUGGUUCUUCAUCUGUGGCAAGGAGUAUCAUUGGUUUAGUCCUUGGAUACGUCACAAGCAUUGUGGUUGACCUUGCAAUUCUGAUCGAGGCGAGGGAAGAGAAAGAGCUGCCCGAAUACAUUCUUGGGACUGUUCGUCUAAACCGUUUUAGACUUGACUCUGCUAUACCAUUUUGAGGAUAUUCACGAUCACAAAAGGGUUAUAAAUGUUACAGCCCUCUAACUCGCAAGAAGUAUGUGUCAUUGGAUGUCGCCUUCUUUGAUUAUGUUCCCUACUUCUCACUUGAAGGACGUUCACUACUUAUUAUCUUUCUAAUCCCGCGGGGGGCUCUUUCAGUCCCCUUUCUUGAUGAAGACUCCCAUCCUUCUGAACCCCCAAGCCACUAUGUGUGCACCAACAAAGGAAGAAAUACUCCACCAAUCAACCUUCCAUCAUUAUUUCCACUUCUAAUGGAGAUUCAGAUCUUCUGUUAUCUCAAAUUGGAUCCUCGUAAAGGCAUGAUUUUAGCAAGAUGGUCAUCUUCAUCUCUUUGGUUAAUUUGAUGCUGACUAUGCUAGUAGUCUUCAUGAUCGGCAGUCUACAUUUAGUUAUUGCACCUUUGCAAGUGGUAAUCUGGUCAUUCAGAAUAGUAAAAAUCAGUCAAUGGUGGAUCAGUCCACUGUAUAAGUUAAAUAUAGGACAAUGGCACAUGUGACAUGUGAACUUAUGUGGCUUUGCACUUUGGUACAAGAGCUUGGUUAUCGUCCUUCUGGUCCCAUUCCUCUAUACUGUGACAAUCAAGCUGCCAUUCAUAUUGCUAGCAAUUAUGUGUUUCAUGAUCGCACUAAA